CGCCAACAAUGCCAUGAUGGAGAUGCUGGCCAAGGGAGGCGAGUAGCUGAGCUCGUGAACGCAAAUGCGCGCUCCCGACAAUAACCCGUUGACGCCUUCAUCCGGGAACUACCGCGAACUCGCUCUUCAACAUGGCGGCGUCAGCUAAGAAAAAGAACAAGAAGGGGAAGACCAUCACUCUCACCGACUUCUUGGCAGACCAAAGCGGCGGAGGCAGUGCACCGGCUCCCAGCUACCCUGCCAAGACCACUAGCUGGGCUGAUGAAACGGCUGACUUGGAUGGAGAUGUGUCAACUUCAUGGCACACAGAUGAGGAUUCGUUCCGGGGCCCGCCCAUUGACCGGUCCAGCCUGCCCACGGCACCCCGUUCAGCUCGUGAGCCCAAUAUCGACCGGUCCCGUCUGCCCCGCAGCCCACCGUACACCGCCUUUCUUGGCAACCUGCCCUAUGAUGUCACUGAAGAAUCCAUCAAAGACUUCUUCCGCGGCUUGGCAAUCAGUGCAGUGCGUCUGCCCCGUGAACCUAGCAACCAUGAAAGGUUGAAGGGUUUUGGCUAUGCAGAGUUUGAUGAUGUGGACUCUCUCCUGAGAGCCUUAAAUCUCAAUGAGGAGAACCUGGGAAACCGAAGGAUCCGUGUAGAUAUAGCAGACCAGUCGAAUGAUAAAGAGAGAGACGGUGGAAUGAUGGGAGGUCGAGACCGCGGUGGGAGAAUGGCGGACAUGGGCCCGGACAAGACAGACAGUGACUGGAGGGCUCGGCCCAGCGGAGAGGAGAGUGAUGAUGGGCCUCCCAGGAGAGACGAUGCCUUUGGAGAGAGAUCACGAGAUCGCUACGAGUCGGAUCGUUUCCGAGACGGUUCACGAAGGGACUAUGACGGUGGAAGAGAUCGCUACCGGGACCGCUACGAUGACAGAGACCGGCGAGAGUACGAUAGAGGCUAUGACUCUCGUGGUGGUGGUGGUAGUGGUGGUGGCGGAGGAGGCCGCCGUGCUUUUGGCAGCAGCUUCCGUCGAGAUUACGAUGAUAAUCGAGGUAGCAGUGACCGUUUCGGCGAUCGAGAUCGUUACGGGGAAAGGGAUCGUUACAGUGAGGAUCGAUACGAGCGGCGUGAUGAGAGGCGUGAGGACAACGCUCCCACGCAGCGGCCCAAGUUGAAUCUAAAGCCCCGCAGCGUGCCCAAGGAUGAGGAAGGCGGCAGUGCCGGCAGCGGUGGGUCUUCCCCAGCCGUUGCGCCGACCUCCAGCGGCAGGGCCUCCUCCAUCUUUGGUGAUGCCAAACCAGUUGACACGGCAGCCAAAGAACGGGCGGUUGAAGAGAGGCUGAAGAAACAGGAAGAAAGUUUCCAGAGGCAGUUGGACGAGGACAAGGGCCGGGGCCCUGACCGAAAGAUACGAGACAAAGACCCAAGCUGGCGAAAUGAGGAAAGUUACACAGAGAGAUCUCGUACAGGAAGUGAGUCCUCCCAGACAGGAAGUGGUUCUGGAAGAGCGUCACGGUGUCGGGACAACGAGCGUUCCGGGGAGAACGAGGUUUUCAGCGGAAGGGAAGAUGAGCCUUCAUCUCCCGCGCCCCCCUCACAGCCUCCCCCCACGAAGGAGCCGUUGAAGGUGAUGCCAGCACCUCCUCCCAAGGAAAACGCCUGGGCCAAGAGAAGUGCGGCCAACACCAGCCCUGCUGACGCUGAUGGGCGGUCCCCGGUCUCCCCUGUUGGUUCGGCUCCCCCCAAGUUCAGCUCCUCAAAUUCUGCAGAUGAGAGAGAAUCCGGAAAGGAUGAGAACAAGGCUGGCGGUGCUCACCGGGACCGGGGGCCCCCACGGGCUCGAGGUGGGCCUGCGGGGCCUGGAGCAGGGCGAGGAGAGGUUCCCAACAGAGACUGAAGAAAGGAGGCAGACAGAAAGGAUAACAGAAGAGAUCGAGAUGCCAGACCACCGCCAGAGCCAAAGAAAUACGAAGAAUCCCCAAUCCCUAAGUUCAGCUCAGCCAGUAAAUACGCCGCUUUGCUAAUGGACGGAGACGGCGACGACGUUGGGGAUGUGGAGUAGAGAAGACGGCAAAGAAGAGGAGCAAAUGAACACAAGAAUAAUAAUUUCACAUAGUUUAUAUUCUCAUGUGGAAGUAGCCCCCCCCCCCCUCCUCCUUCCCCGGGUGAUCAAACAGCCCAACCCACCUUCAAACCUGUCCUUUCCCUUCAUCUUCCUUCCCUUCCACUCAACUCUGAGGACUCUUUCAGGUUCAACACAGCCACCUACUGGACUUGGUUUUAAUUGGGUUGGGGAAAAAUAUGAGUGCUUAGCUCUGGAAAUGUGAUAAAGUUGGAAAAUUGUAAUAAAUAAAUGGAAAAAGUGGGGAAAAAUGAAUUUGUACAUUUGUGGAUCAAAGAUGCGAUGGAUUGAUCCUAGAUAUUGUAGCUAUAAUGGCACUGUCGUGGACUUUUAAAUUCUAAUCAAAUCGUUCACAUUGACUUGCGUACCUCCCACAAGGCAACAGCAGUUAAUUUUAUUAGUCAUUUGGAAAUUGUCCUGAGGUCUUCUCCCGCUAUAAUUAAUCACAAAUCAUGUCUUCCAGCACUGACUUUGAUUCUGAAACUACCCCAUGGACUGUAUGUAGUCCAUGUCCACUGUGCAACAUGUUUUGAUGCGUUUCACUCCGAAUGACACUAAACAGCCGCCUCGUGACUCCGCUCGAGUCUUUAAGUGCCAUUAUUGUUCUGCCCUUAUCAUUGUACAGACUUUGUUCUCUUUCUAUAACUUCUGAUGAAAUCAUCGCUUCAAUUCGUCUAUCUGCGCUCCUUUCUGGCCGUCUUCCCGUCGUCCUCUGCUGUUCACAAAUUCUUCUUCCUCAUGUGAGGGCUGCAGUGUGGGAGUCUGGUUUUCAUGACAUGACCUUUUUUCCCGCUUGCAAUAAAAAGGGGUACACAACA